rnacentral:tRNA from 1 species
GCCUGAUUGGCUCAGUCAGUAGAGCAUGUGACCCUUAACUUCAGGGUCAUGAGUUCAAGCCCCACAUUAGGCA